rnacentral:rRNA from 1 species
UGCUCUUUGUUUUACUUCGAUAAAGAGUCGAGCCUGCCCAGUGAAGUUUUUAACGGCCGCGGUACUCUGACCGUGCAAAGGUAGCAUAAUCAUUUGCCUUAUAAUUGAAGGCUGGUAUGAAUGGUUUGACAAAAGCAAACCUGUCUCUCUUUUAUUACCUAAAAAUUGACCUCUAGGUGAAGAGGCCUAGAUAACAUUGGAGGACAAGAAGACCCUGUCGAGCUUAAAAGAACAAGUGGAAGUCAAUAUACUAAUAAAUAAAUAACCCACUUAGCUUUUUAGUUGGGGCGACUAAGGAACAAAAAAAGCUUCUUCUGCAGAAGAAACUGAACAAGUUAAGAUCCAGCUAUGGUCUGAUCUAAGAAAUUAGUUACCGCAGGGAUAACAGCAUAAUCUCUCUUGAGAGACCUAAUCGAAAGGGGGGGUUGUGACCUCGAUGUUGGACUAGAAUAUCCUGAAGAUGCAGAAGUCUUUAAGGGUUGGUCUGUUCGACCAUUAAAAUUCU